rnacentral:rRNA from 1 species
UACGGGGGGAGCAAGCGUUGUUCGGAUUUACUGGGCGUAAAGGGCGCGUAGGCGGCCAGCGCAAGUCGGUUGUGAAAUCUCCGGGCUUAACUCGGAAAGGUCAACUGAUACUGCGCGGCUAGAGUGCAGAAGGGGCAACUGGAAUUCUCGGUGUAGCGGUGAAAUGCGUAGAUAUCGAGAGGAACACCUGCGGCGAAGGCGGGUUGCUGGGCCGACACUGACGCUGAUGCGCGAAAGCCAGGGGAGCGAACGGG